UGUCAACCUGAUUUUUAAUGUUCUCCAGUAUGCCUCAGCAGUUGUGUAGAUUCUAGGGAAAGCUGUGCUGUCUGGCUGACAGAAACAUCAUGUUUUAUUCUCACCUUUUGUUUUCUUCCUUUUAGGUCCGUUAUGCUUCUGUUAUUGGCAGGACAGCCAGAGGAGGCAGACAGGACCUUUGAUGCCUGGCAAGCUGUACCACUGGGAGCCUAUUUUUGAAAGCCUUUAAGAAGGAUUCAGCACUGCACACCAGAAGGACA
rnacentral:lncRNA from 1 species